UACACUCCUGCGGGAGGCAGCAGUGGGGAAUAUUGGACAAUGGGCGCAAGCCUGAUCCAGCCAUGCCGCGUGAGUGAUGAAGGCCCUAGGGUUGUAAAGCUCUUUCACCGGUGAAGAUAAUGACGGUAACCGGAGAAGAAGCCCCGGCUAACUUCGUGCCAGCAGCCGCGGUAAUACGAAGGGGGCUAGCGUUGUUCGGAUUUACUGGGCGUAAAGCGCACGUAGGCGGACUAUUAAGUCAGGGGUGAAAUCCCGGGGCUCAACCCCGGAACUGCCUUUGAUACUGGUAGUCUUGAGUUCGAGAGGGGUGGGGGGAAUUCCGAGUGUAGAGGUGAAAUUCGUAGAUAUUCGGAGGAACACCAGUGGCGAAGGCGGCUCACUGGCUCGAUACUGACGCUGAGGUGCGAAAGCGUGGGGAGCAAACAGGAUUAGAAACCCCUGUAGUCC
rnacentral:rRNA from 1 species